CCUACGGGAGGCAGCAGUGAGGAAUAUUGGUCAAUGGCCGGGAGGCUGAACCAGCCAAGUCGCGUGAGGGAAGCCGGCCCUACGGGUUGUAAACCUCUUUUGUCAGUGAGCAAGAUGCAGGUCGGGACCUGCUGUGAGAGUACCUGACGAAAAAGCAUCGGCUAACUCCGUGCCAGCAGCCUCUGUAAUACGGAGGAUGCGAGCGUUAUCCGGAGUUAUUGUGUUUAAAGGGUGCGAAGGCGGAGGCACAAGUCAGCGGGAAAAUCGCGGGGCUCAACCCCGCUCCGCCGUUUAAACUGUGUCCCUUGAGUGCGCGAAGGGUAGGCGGAAUGCGUGGUGUAGCGGUGAAAUGCAUAGAUAUCACGCAGAACUACGAUCGCGAAGGCAGCCUACCGGCGCGCAACUGACGCUCAUGCACGAAAGCGUGGGUAUCGAACAGGAUUAGAUACCCGAGUAGUC
rnacentral:rRNA from 1 species